rnacentral:lncRNA from 10 species
CAGGAACUGUCUGCCUGGAUUAAUGUAAUGUGAGCCACGUUUAUUAUUUCAAAUUUUCUAGUGAACACAUUUUAAAAAGUAAAACAGAAAUACAUGAAAGUAAUUGUAGUUAUAUACUUUAUUAACCUAAUAUAGCCAAAUAUUGUAAUAUGAACAUAUAAUUAGUAUAAAAUAUGCCAAUGUGGAAUGUUACAUUCUUUUUUUUUUAGUAAGUCUUUGAAAUCUGGUGUGCGUUUUACACUCACAUCACUUCUCAAUGUGCACUGGCCACAUUUUGAAUGCCCAGUAGUCACAAGUGGCUAGUGGCCACCAUAUUGGAUUGAGCAGCUCUAUCUAGACUAGGCAGAUAAUCCGGUCUUCCUUCUGCCAUGGUGGGCCAAAAUUUAUUUUUUAUUACUGGUGACUUAGGAAAGUUCCUUUUAGCUUCUCAAACUCACGAAAUGUCUAGGAUUAUCGCCAUAUUUGGAAAAACUUCUAUGAAGUCUUUCACAUAUGAGUUGUAAAAUUUCAGGGCACUUGAGGUUAUCUUCUGCAGGGAUUAAUCUUAUAUUCUUUUUAAAUUGAAGACCUUCAUUAACCAGUUUGUUGUCAAUAUUCACAUUGUAGUGGCUUUUUUUUUGUCUUAUCUUUGAUGUCAAUAUUCCAUGACAAAUCUGCAGGAAAUUUGAAAAGAACCUAUAUAGAUGUGCUUGGACAGGUGAAUUUACAUGACUGAUGUGCAGGGAGGUAGAAGGAGACAGGAUAAGAUUAGAAAAGUGUGCUGGCCUAUAGUCCCAGCUACUCAGGAGGCUGAGGCAGGAGAAUGGCGUGAACCCAGGAGGCAGAGCUUGCAGUGAGCCGAGAUCGUGCCACUGCACUCCAGCCUGGGUGACAGAGCGAGACUCUGUCUCAAAAAAAAAAAAAAGAAAAAGAAAAAAAGAAAAGAAAAGUGUGCUGGACUCAGCUAGGGAGGUGAGAAAGGCUGUCAGCUGCUAGUGAGAGGCUAAGGAGAGAUUCUCCCGCCUUUAGGUUAAGGAAUCAACGCCUGUGGAUAUAGCACUGUACUGGAGAUAUUUCUUCAUGGAUCUCUAAUAUUUCUGCACACCUUUUCAGCAAAGAAACUGAUGACUUUUUUACCCCCUGGAUUAUCUUUCCAAGAAUGUUAGCAUAACAAGUGACCUUGGAAGACAGCGAUCAUAUCUCCCUCCAGGUCAGAGGGCAGAUUUGUUUCCUGACCAGGAUAGUAAAGAUAAUGUUUCUUCUAGGUAAAGGUUGGGAAAGUUUGCUAAUAGUCUCUUAAAAGGGGUGCAUCUCCUAAACUUGGUGAUCCUCAGAUGUGAUGCAGACUCGCUCUCUGCAUGGCAUCCACUAGGGCCACUCUGUGUCACCCCUAUGAACCCUAGGGAACAAAAGGAACUGAUAGGAACAGGAGUUCAUGCUGCCUGCUCUGCCAUGACUACUGAAGUCCUUUGUCUCUGGCCCAGGAGUCUCAUGUCUUCUACCAACAUCCAUGAAACUGGGAGGCUCAUUUGUGAUCUUACAAGUAAAGUAAAGCCUCAGACCCCUCACAGUUCCUGGCACACUAGCAGCAUAGGAAAGGCCUUAUAGUGUAGUAGUGUUAUCUUUAGCAUAUGAUAACUUCAAACCUGGUUACGGAUCUAACAGUGUGUGUUGCUGGCUUAAAACUGUGGCUAUAAUAAUAUUUUUACACAUGAAAGCCAUUGCAAAUCAUGUGUCCCACCAAACCCAAGCUAAAUGUAUCUCCAGCUCAGCUUCCUUGAGCCAACCCCAAAAUUGCUAUCAGCCACUCCACAUCACCCAGAGUGAGAAGAAACUGGAGUAGAAAUCAACAGUGGUCUAAGCUGAUUGGAGCAUAUUUGACUCAGAAACAGCUGGUCAGGGUAAAAUGGACUUCACUGGAAUGUACUGACUUUCUUCAAAAAAAUUCAUUAAAACCCUGGCAAGGUUGAUCUGCAUCAGAGACAGCUAUGACUGUUCCAUAGGAUAGAAGUUCAACAUUGGGAAAUCCUGCCAUUUGUGGCAACAUGGAUGGACCUGGAAUGCAUUAUGCUAUGUGAAAUAAGCCAGACACAGAAAGACAGAUACUUUAUGUUAUCAUGUAUAUG